CCUACGUGAGGCAGCAGUGGGGGAUAUUGCACAAUGGGGGAAACCCUGAUGCAGCGACGCCGCGUGGGCGAAGAAGUAUUUCGGUAUGUAAAGCUCUAUUAGCAGGGAAGAAGAAAUGACGGUACCUGAGUAAGAAGAACAGGCUAAAUACGUGCCAGCAGCCGCGGUAAUACGGAUGGUGCAAGCGUUAGCCGGAUUUACUGGGUUUAAAGGGAGCGCAGGCGGCACGGCAAGCCUGAUGUGAAAGCCCGCGGCCCAACCGCGGGACUGCAUUGGGAACUACCGGGCUGGAGUGACGGAGAGGUAGGCGGAAUGUGUGGUGUAGCGGUGAAAUGCGUAGAUAUUAGGAGGAACACCAGUGGCGAAGGCGGCCUACUGGACGGUGACUGACGCUGAGGCACGAAAGCGUGGGGAGCAAACAGGAUUAGAUACCCUAGUAGUC
rnacentral:rRNA from 1 species